ensembl:lncRNA
GUUUGAUUCAAUUCAGUUCUGAUCAGUUUAGUUAAUUAUUUUAAUUCAUUUCAGUUCAAAUCAGUUAUGUGUGCUCAUGAUCAGUUCAGAUCAGUCUAGUUCUGAUCGGUUCAGUAUGGCUUCAGUCAAACUUCUAGUUCAGUCAGAUUUAAGUCAGAUCAGUUUGGUUUGGUUCUGAUUAGUUAAAGUCAGAUCAAUGUAGUGCAGUUAAAUUUCAGUCAGCUCAGUUUGGCUCAGUUUAGGUCAAUUCAGUUAAAUUCAGUUGUGUGUGUUACGCAGGUGCAGUUGCAGAAUAUGUGGAGUAUUUCAUGGUGGAAGUGAGCGGCUGGCAGCGGAAGCUGGUGCUGGCUGAUCUGGUCAUUGGGACAUGGUUGGUGGUUCAGAGCACAUGGGCUGACCUCCAGAGCAUUUUCACCAACUCUGAGGACAUUCGGACCCAGUUGACCCAUGAUGCAGAGCGGUUUCAGGGCAUCAAUCAGGACUUCCAGGUAGCACAGACUGGCAGUCAAAUUUGGUAGGUGACAGAUGUGGGAAUUGCUUUUGAGAGGGUGGAGGAGGGUUUUGAGACUGCCUUGAAAGACUACAACCGAGAACAGGUAAAUAAAAAUAUAUAAACACUUACUCA